UGCCAGCAGCCGCGGUAAUACGAAGGGGGCUAGCGUUGUUCGGAAUAACUGGGCGUAAAGCGCACGUAGGCGGAUUGGAAAGUUAGAGGUGAAAUCCCUGGGCUCAACCCAGGAACUGCCUUUAAAACUAUCAAUCUAGAGGUCGAGAGAGGUGAGUGGAAUUCCGAGUGUAGAGGUGAAAUUCGUAGAUAUUCGGAGGAACACCAGUGGCGAAGGCGGCUCACUGGCUCGAUACUGACGCUGAGGUGCGAAAGCGUGGGGAGCAAACAGGAUUAGAUA
rnacentral:rRNA from 1 species